rnacentral:lncRNA from 1 species
CGAAGCAGAGUCCGUGAAGCAAGAGAGGCGAGCCGAAGCAGAGUCCGUGAUGCAAGAGAGGCGAGCCGAAGCAGAGUCCGUGAAGCAAGAGAGGCGAGCCGAAGCAGAGUCCGUGAAGCAAGAGAAGCGAGCCGAAGCAGAGUCCGUGAAGCAGAGAAGCGAGCGAAGCAGAGUCCGUGAAGCA